GAUGAACGCUGGCGGCGUGCCUAAUACAUGCAAGUCGAGCGAACAGACGAGGAGCUUGCUCCUCUGACGUUAGCGGCGGACGGGUGAGUAACACGUGGAUAACCUACCUAUAAGACUGGGAUAACUUCGGGAAACCGGAGCUAAUACCGGAUAAUAUAUUGAACCGCAUGGUUCAAUAGUGAAAGACGGUUUUGCUGUCACUUAUAGAUGGAUCCGCGCCGCAUUAGCUAGUUGGUAAGGUAACGGCUUACCAAGGCAACGAUGCGUAGCCGACCUGAGAGGGUGAUCGGCCACACUGGAACUGAGACACGGUCCAGACUCCUACGGGAGGCAGCAGUAGGGAAUCUUCCGCAAUGGGCGAAAGCCUGACGGAGCAACGCCGCGUGAGUGAUGAAGGUCUUCGGAUCGUAAAACUCUGUUAUUAGGGAAGAACAAAUGUGUAAGUAACUAUGCACGUCUGGACGGUACCUAAUCAGAAAGCCACGGCAAACUACGU
rnacentral:rRNA from 1 species